rnacentral:rRNA from 1 species
GACGAACGCUGGCGGCGUGCUUAACACAUGCAAGUCGAACGGAAAGGCCCUGCUUUUGUGGGGUGCUCGAGUGGCGAACGGGUGCGUAACACGUGAGUAACCUGCCCUUGACUUUGGGAUAACUUCAGGAAACUGGGGCUAAUACAGGAUAGGAGCUCCUGCUGCAUGGUGGGGGUUGGAACGUUUCGGCGGUUGGGGAUGGACUCGCGGCUUAUCAGCUUGUUAGUUGGGUAGUGGCUUACCAAGGCUUUGACGGGUAGCCGGCCUGGGAGGGUGACCGGCCACAUUGGUCCUGCGGGACGGCCCAGUCGCCAACGGGAGGCAGCAGGGGGGAAUAUUGCACAAUGGGCGGAAGCCUGAUGCAGCAACGCCGCGUGCGGGAUGACGGCUUUCGGGGUGUAAACCGCUUUCGCCUGUGACGAAGCGUGAGUGACGGUAAUGGGUAAAGAAGCACCGGCUAACUACGUG